GGGACGAACGCUGGCGGCGUGCUUAACACAUGCAAGUCGAACGGUGAAGGAGAGCUUGCUCUCUGGAUCAGUGGCGAACGGGUGAGUAACACGUGAGUAACCUGCCCUUGACUCUGGGAUAAGCGUUGGAAACGACGUCUAAUACCGGAUACGAGCUUCAGUCGCAUGGCUAGGAGCUGGAAAGAAUUUCGGUCAAGGAUGGACUCGCGGCCUAGUCAGCUAGUUGGUGAGGUAAUGGCUCACCAAGGCGACGACGGGUAGCCGGCCUGAGAGGGUGACCGGCCACGACUGGGACUGGAGACACGGCCCAGACUCCGUACGGGAGGCAGCGAGGUGGGGAAUAGUUGGCAACGAAUGGGCGCAAGCCUGAUG
rnacentral:rRNA from 1 species